GCGGCGGUAGUCUAGCGGUAGGACGUGGGCCUUCCAAGCCCCCGACGUGGGUUCGACUCCCGCCCGCCGCA
rnacentral:tRNA from 1 species